rnacentral:rRNA from 1 species
CCUACGGGAGGCAGCAGUGAGGAAUAUUGGACAAUGGGCGCAAGCCUGAUCCAGCCAUGCCGCGUGCAGGAAGAAGCAUCUAUGGUGUGUAAACUGCUUUUGUACAGGAAGAAACACUCCCUCGUGAGGGAGCUUGACGGUACUGUAAGAAUAAGGACCGGCUAACUCCGUGCCAGCAGCCGCGGUAAUACGGAGGGUCCGAGCGUUAUCCGGAAUCAUUGGGUUUAAAGGGUCCGUAGGCGGUUUAAUAAGUCAGUGGUGAAAUCUGGUCGCUCAACGAUCAAACGGCCAUUGAUACUGUUAGACUUGAAUUAUAAGGAAGUAACUAGAAUAUGUAGUGUAGCGGUGAAAUGCUUAGAUAUUACAUGGAAUACCAAUUGCGAAGGCAGGUUACUACUUAUGGAUUGACGCUGAUGGACGAAAGCGUGGGGAGCGAACAGGAUUAGAUACCCUGGUAGUCCACGCCGUAAACGAUGGAUACUAGCUGUUCGGAGCAAUCUGAGUGGCUAAGCGAAAGUGAUAAGUAUCCCACCUGGGGAGUACGUUCGCAAGAAUGAAACUCAAAGGAAUUGACGGNGNGAGAGNGCGACGACGACGACGAGGAGGAGG